AGUGAGUUGGCAGAAUAGUGCAACCGACUUAGGAUCGGUAAAUGGGUUGAACCCACUCACUAC
rnacentral:tRNA from 1 species